rnacentral:rRNA from 1 species
AUUGAACGCUGGCGGCAGGCCUAACACAUGCAAGUCGAAUGGUAACAGGAAACAGCUUGCUGUUUCGCUGACGAGUGGCGGACGGGUGAGUAAUGUCUGGGAAACUGCCUGAUGGAGGGGGAUAACUACUGGAAACGGUAGCUAAUACCGCAUAACGUCGCAAGACCAAAGAGGGGGACCUUCGGGCCUCUUGCCAUCGGAUGUGCCCAGAUGGGAUUAGCUAGUAGGUGGGGUAACGGCUCACCUAGGCGACGAUCCCUAGCUGGUCUGAGAGGAUGACCAGCCACACUGGAACUGAGACACGGCCCAGACUCCUACGGGAGGCAGCAGUGGGGAAUAUUGCACAAUGGGCGCAAGCCUGAUGCAGCCAUGCCGCGUGUAUGAAGAAGGCCUUCGGGUUGUAAAGUACUUUCAGCGGGGAGGAAGGGAGUAAAGUUAAUACCUUUGCUCAUUGACGUUACCCGCAGAAGAAGCACCGGCUAACUCCGUG